AGUGAACGCUGGCGGUAGGCCUAACACAUGCAAGUCGAACGGCAGCACAGUAAGAGCUUGCUCUUACGGGUGGCGAGUGGCGGACGGGUGAGGAAUACAUCGGAAUCUACUUUUUCGUGGGGGAUAACGUAGGGAAACUUACGCUAAUAACGCAUACGACCUACGGGUGAAAUCAGGGGAUCUUCGGACCUUGCGCGAUUGAAUGAGCCGAUGUCGGAUUAGCUAGUUGGCGGGGUAAAGGCCCACCAAGGCGACGAUCCGUAGCUGGUCUGAGAGGAUGAUCAGCCACACUGGAACUGAGACACGGUCCAGACUCCUACGGGAGGCAGCAGUGGGGAAUAUUGGACAAUGGGCGCAAGCCUGAUCCAGCCAUACCGCGUGGGUGAAGAAGGCCUUCGGGUUGUAAAGCCCUUUUGUUGGGAAAGAAAAGCAGCAGGUUAAUACCCCGCUGUUCUGACGGUACCCAAAGAAUAAGCACCGGCUAACUUCGUG
rnacentral:rRNA from 1 species